GCCCUGAUAGCUCAGUGGUAGAACGUUUGACUAGUGUUCAAAAGGUCCCGAGUUCAAAUCUCGGUCAAGGCU
rnacentral:tRNA from 1 species